rnacentral:ncRNA from 1 species
GUUGUUGCAAUAGUAAUCCUGCUCAGUACGACAGGAACCGCAGUUUCAGGCCCCUGGUGUGUGCGCUUGUCUGAGGAGCCACUGGCGCAAGGGUACCAUCUGCGGGCUUAUGACUGAACACCUCUAAGUCAGAAUCUGGCCUAGACGUAGCGAU